rnacentral:rRNA from 1 species
UACAGAGGUGGCAAGCGUUGUUCGGAAUUACUGGGCGUAAAGGGCGCGUAGGCGGUCGUGACAAGUCACUUGUGAAAUCUCCGGGCUUAACUCGGAACGGUCAAGUGAUACUGUCGGACUAGAGUACAGAAGGGGCAACUGGAAUUCUCGGUGUAGCGGUGAAAUGCGUAGAUAUCGAGAGGAACACCUGCGGCGAAGGCGGGUUGCUGGGCUGAUAUUGACGCUGAGGCGCGAAAGCCAGGGGAGCGAACGGG